CACGAGUCAGUGGUCGAAGUGAGUGGACAUAAGCCGGCUUAUUCAAAGACCAAAUGCCCUGUACACCUAUACAGACUCAGAGGAUGAGCAGCCUACAAAAAAACGGUUUCCCCAGGCCCCUCGAGUGAAAAUACCAGCCCUCAUCACUCCGCAGUCUGCCCUCAUCACUCCGCAGUCUGCCCCCCAGCCCACUGAUAGCAACCAUCAUAAUGCCACACCCAGCUUCCGGCACCUUUCGCCACUCCGGCACAAGCCGACACAGCUUUGCGAUCUCGCCAGCAUGCAGAGUCUGAUGUCUUCCCUAUA